CACGUAGGGGGCAAGCGUUGUCCGGAUUUAUUGGGCGUAAAGAGCUCGUAGGCGGCUCAGUAAGUCGGGUGUGAAACCUCCAGGCUCAACCUGGAGACGCCACCUGAUACUGCUGUGGCUAGAGUCCGGUAGGGGAGCGUGGAAUUCCUGGUGUAGCGGUGAAAUGCGCAGAUAUCAGGAGGAACACCAGCGGCGAAGGCGGCGCUCUGGGCCGGUACUGACGCUGAGACGCGAAAGCGUGGGGAGCGAACAGG
rnacentral:rRNA from 1 species